rnacentral:rRNA from 2 species
AUGCAUGUCUAAGUACAAGCCGAUUUAAGGCGAAACCGCGAAUGGCUCAUUAAAUCAGCUAUGAUUCAUUGGAUCUGUACCCACACUUACUUGGAUAACUGUGGUAAUUCUAGAGCUAAUACAUGCACCCCGUCUCUGACCGCAAGGGAAGAGCGCUUUUAUUAGUUCAAAACCGGUCGGGCCUCGGUCCGUCACCCCACCGUGUUGAAUCUGAAUAACUUGUCGCUGAGCGCACGGUCUCCGCACCGGCGCCGCCUCUUUCAAGUGUCUGCCUUAUCAGCUUUCGAUUGUAGGUUAUGCGCCUACAAUGGCUAUAACGGGUAACGGGGAAUCAGGGUUCGAUUCCGGAGAGGGAGCCUGAGAAACGGCUACCACA